GUGCUCGCUUCGGCAGCACAUACACUAAAAUUGGAACAAUGCAGAGAAGAUUAGCAUGGCCCCUCGCAAGGAUGGCACACAAAUAAGGAAACGUUCCAUAUUUUU
ensembl:snRNA U6 U6 spliceosomal RNA